rnacentral:rRNA from 1 species
GCCAUGCCGCGUGUGUGAAGAAGGUCUUCGGAUUGUAAAGCACUUUUGUUGGGAGGAAGGGUUGUAGAUUAAUACUCUGCAGUUUUGACGUUACCGACAGAAUAAGCACCGGCUAACUCUGUGCCAGCAGCCGCGGUAAUACAUAGGGUGCAAGCGUUAAUCGGAAUUACUGGGCGUAAAGCGCGCGUAGGUGGUUCGUUAAGUUGGAUGUGAAAUCCCCGGGCUCAACCUGGGAACUGCAUUCGGAACUGUCUAGCUAGAGUAUGGUAGAGGGUGAUGGAAUUUCCUGUGUAGCGGUGAAAUGCGUAUAUAUGGGAAGGAACACCAGUGGCGAAGGCAACCCCCUGGACUGAUACUGACACUGAGGUGCGAAAGCGUGGGGAGCAAACAGGAUUACAUACCCUGGUAGUCCACGCCCUAAACAAUGUCGAUGAUGCAUUGGGGUCCUUGAGACUUUAGUGGCGCAUCUAACGCAUUACUUCGACCGCCUGGGGAGUACGGCCGCAUGGUUAGAACUCACAUGAAUUGACGGGAGCCCGCAAAAGCGGUGGAUCAUGUGGUUAAAUUCGAAGCAACGCAAAGAAGCUUACCUGGCCUUGACGUGCUGAGAACUU